AGAGUUUGAUCCUGGCUCAGAGCGAACGCUGGCGGCAGGCUUAACACAUGCAAGUCGAGCGGGCACCUUCGGGUGUCAGCGGCAGACGGGUGAGUAACACGUGGGAACGUGCCCAUCGGUUCGGAACAACCCAGGGAAACUUGGGCUAAUACCGGAUACGACCUUACGGUGAAAGAUUUAUCGCCGAUGGAUCGGCCCGCGUCUGAUUAGCUAGUUGGUGGGGUAACGGCCUACCAAGGCGACGAUCAGUAGCUGGUCUGAGAGGAUGAUCAGCCACACUGGGACUGAGACACGGCCCAGACUCCUACGGGAGGCAGCAGUGGGGAAUAUUGGACAAUGGGCGAAAGCCUGAUCCAGCCAUGCCGCGUGAGUGAUGAAGGCCUUAGGGUUGUAAAGCUCUUUCGGCGGGGACGAUAAUGACGGUACCCGCAGAAGAAGCCCCGGCUAACUUCGUGCCAGCAGCCGCGGUAAUACGAAGGGGGCUAGCGUUGCUCGGAAUCACUGGGCGUAAAGGGCGCGUAGGCGGCCGAUCAAGUCAGAGGUGAAAGCCCAAGGCUCAACCUUGGAAUUGCCUUUGAUACUGUUCGGCUCGAGACCGGAAGAGGUAAGUGGAACUGCGAGUGUAGAGGUGAAAUUCGUAGAUAUUCGCAAGAACACCAGUGGCGAAGGCGCUCUGCUGGACCAUAACUGACACUCAGGGACGAAAGCUAGGGGAGCGAAUGGGAUUAGAUACCCCCGUAGUCC
rnacentral:rRNA from 1 species